AGAGUUUGAUCMUGGCUCAGGACGAACGCUGGCGGCGUGCCUAACACAUGCAAGUCGAACGAUUCGAUUUCGAACUUCGAUCUUCGAAUUUCGAAUAUCGAAUAGUGGCGGACGGGUGAGUAACGCGUGGGUAACCUACCCAUAAACUCGGGACAACCCUUGGAAACGAGGGCUAAUACCGGAUAAUCUUUGGAAGUGGCAUCACUUCUUAAGAAAAGGUGGCCUCUGWAKAUGCUACCGAUUAUGGAUGGACCCGCGUCUGAUUAGCUAGUUGGUGGGGUAAAGGCCUACCAAGGCGACGAUCAGUAGCCGGCCUGAGAGGGUGAACGGCCACACUGGGACUGAGACACGGCCCAGACUCCUACGGGAGGCAGCAGUGGGGAAUCUUSCGCAAUGGRCGAAAGYCUGACGSAGCAACGCCGCGUGKAKGAWGAAGGCCUUUGGGUYGUAAAGUACUGUCUUUGGGGAAGAAUGGUAUUUUUGAAAAUAUUGAGAGUACAUGACGGUACCCAAGGAGGAAGCCCCGGCUAACUACGUGCCAGCCGCCGCGGUAA
rnacentral:rRNA from 1 species